CGGACAUGAGAGACAGAACCUACAUCAUGAAAUGAUGUAGCACCAAAGGCGGUCAAUAUGUGGAAUGUAUUGGUAUGCAAAACCAUUUCAGGAGGGUAGUACAUCAAGAGAUUAGAAAUGACAAUAAAAUUCAAACGUAAAAGAGGACAACUGGAAAGGAACAAGAAUAUAAACUAAAUUUAUAAUUGACCAAAUAAGGUAGAUUUAAUUGCUUUGAUUAUUUGUGGGAGAAAGUAGUGAACUAUCAUAAACCACCAUAUGAGCACAUGGAGUUUGAUCUCGGCCCGAUCAGCUAAGCCUUCCUAUACCUUGCCGAGCAUAGGACGUGACAUGACAUAAUUUGCUAGCAAGUAUCCAUAGUUAGCCCCUUUUCGGGGGACAUAAAAAAGAGUCAUCCGCUUGCGAAAUGAUCUCUAUCCUAUGUUGGCAAACAUAGUUUCAGGCAUUUGUCAUUUAGACCUAUGCCUUCACGGUCAGCUAACCAACUCCAUUAUGCUCAUAAUGUUAUCUUAGUGAUUCAUGCUCAUAGAUUAGCCAUAUUAGGCUCAUAUCCAUGGUUUAGCCACUUUAGGGCUCAUGCUUGAGAAUUAACUAACUUGGGUUCAUAUUUGAGAUUAAGCCACCUUAAACUCAUAAUCAAGUAUUAUCAUCAUUAGGACUCAUGGGAGGUAGAAUCGUAAUAAUUCAUUAAGUCAAAUUAAUUCAUCAGUGAAGGAUUUUCGUAACUUUAUCAGGAGUGAGCCUUUGGAAUGUACAUGUUUUUAGCAUAGCUUAUGAGUUUGUAGAUCAUAUCUUAAGGUAAUAAAGGCAUUCAUGAAUUAAUUUGUAGAGCUAGAAGUCAUACGGAUCGUGUCAUUUUGUGUCGUGGUUCAUAAGAGAGGUAUUUUAUGAUAUUAUGGAGAUCAUGGAAAAUUCAAGUCAUUAUAGCAUUGUCAUCUUCGCUGAUUUGUGACCAACGUGCUAGCUUUACUAGGCUCAUGUUAAUAUUUUAGCCUUUUUGUGGGAUCACAUUGGAAUUCAGCAACUUUGGUUUCAUACAUCAUGAACUAACACUCAGUAUUGUUUUGGUGAGUCAUUGAAAGCAACGUGUUGCAACAUCAUUAUAACAAUAUUCCAAGUCAUAACUUCUAUAACACUUAAUGGAACUAAGGAAAUUGAGGGAAUUUGGUUGAACUUCAUGGAUCACGGUUCAUAUGAAAACAAUAGGAGUUUCCAGUAUGAUGUCUUCUUAGAAACAGAAUUAAAAAUUCACAGUAUUUAGUUAAAAGAAAAGCAACAAGCUAGCCAAAUGGGGAACUGAUGUUAAUUUGGAGUGCGUUGCAUGUGUCAUAGCCAUCCAGAAUUGAUACCAUCUAUUUAUGGUUGUAACUUUGCAAGAACAGUGAAUGACAGUUUACUUCUAUGGAAACUUAAACAAAAUAUCUACAACUACUACUUGGAAACAAACAUGUGAAAUGGACAGUCCAAAAUGUCAAAGGCAGAACACAAUAAGCCCAAAUAUUUAGAACAAUUUAUGUGGAGUAUGUGAAUGCCAUAUGGAUCAAAAGAAAUCAUAUGUUCUUUGAAAAGAUAGCUAGAGAUGGGAAGUUUUAAUUAGCCAAAGAAAAUGCCUAAAUGUGCUGUGUGAGAUCAAAUUAUAUGGUGCAAAACUAACUCUUGCAGCAACUUGUAGAAUAAAUAUAAUUCACAUAAUAUUGAGUAUCCAUAGAAAAGAUUAAUGGACCAAGAUGUUUUUUAAAAAAAAAAAAAAAAAAAAUUUCCAAGUAACUUGGUAACUUGAGACAGGGGACUCGAUUAAUGGACUAAGAUUUUUAAAACUCCUUCCACCAUCAUUAUUUUGAAAGUAAGCAUAAUUUGAGGAGAAACAAAACCAAGAGAAAACAUAAAAGAAAUAAUCUUUCAUACCUCAAAACGUUAGAGAAGUUAGUUAUCGGAAGGGACGAAACUAAGAUUGAUUCUUGAGCCAAUUCUCUCGGAUUUUAUUUUUUUAUGAUUGAAUUUGAGAGGAAAGCUGGAUUUCUGGAUGAUGAAAUAGUUUGUAUAACUGUUGGAGAAAUUGCAGUAUUUUUUUAUUGUGUGCAAUUGAG
rnacentral:lncRNA from 1 species